UUUAUGGAGAGUUUGAUCCUGGCUCAGGAUGAACGCUGGCGGCGUGCCUAAUACAUGCAAGUCGAGCGAACAGACGAGGAGCUUGCUCCUCUGACGUUAGCGGCGGACGGGUGAGUAAC
rnacentral:rRNA from 1 species